AUGAGACGCAAUCACCAGCGACCGGACGAGAACCCCCACGGAUGCCUCCACGAUGACUUGGAUGCGGAUGUUGAAGUCUCGGAGAAACAUUGUUGCCAGUGGCGCGCUGGGAAAUUGACUGGAGAAAGUUUUGGAGGUAGGAAUGCUGGCACCGCCCAUUGCCAAUUUCAAGCUGCCAGCCCCUGAAUGAGAAUAAUCAGCUCUUGGGGGCCAGGGUGAGCAGGCAGGUGCCCUGCUAGCCCUUCCCUGCCACACACAGUUACUAGGCCACCAUCGGCGCCUUAUUUAUAAGGUUUCGACUCCCUUCAAGACCUACAUCUCCCUGGGACGGCUGGGUUGUGGGAGAUCCUCGUCUUCCCUUCUAGGUCCUUCCUUCCUCCUCCUCCUGCUUCUCCUCCUCCAUCCCUCUUCCCCUCCUUC
rnacentral:lncRNA from 1 species